rnacentral:rRNA from 1 species
ACGCAAGUUGCGCCCGAAGCCAUUAGGUUGAGGGCACGCCUGCCUGGGCGUCUCAC